rnacentral:rRNA from 1 species
AAUGAACGCUGGCGGCGCGCCUAAUACAUGCAAGUCGAGCGAGAAGACGUAGCAAUACGUUUGUAAAGCGGCGAACGGGUGAGGAAUACAUGGGUAACCUACCCUAGAGUGGGGAAUAACUAGCCGAAAGGUUAGCUAAUACCGCGUACGCUCCUUGGACUUCGGUUCAGGGAGGAAAGCGAUACCGAGGGUAUCGCGCUCUUGGAUGGGCUCAUGUCCUAUCAGCUUGNGGUGAGGUAACGGCUCACCAAGGCUUCGACGGGUAGCUGGUCUGAGAGGACGAUCAGCCACACUGGCACUGCGACACGGGCCAGACUCCUACGGGAGGCAGCAGUAAGGAAUAUUGCGCAAUGGGCAAAGCCUGACGCAGCGACGCCGCGUGGGGGAUGAAGGUC